ensembl:snoRNA
UGCCAAGCAGUGAUGAUGAUGACUAAUGUCAACAGUCCUGAAACUACCUGAUGCUUUUCAGUCACUACCUCAUCUGAGCUUGCA